ACGAACGCUGGCGGCGUGCUUAACACAUGCCAGUCGAACGGAAAGGCCCUGCUUUUGUGGGGUGCUCGAGUGGCGAACGGGUGAGUAACACGUGAGUAACCUGCCCUUGACUUUGGGAUAACUUCAGGAAACUGGGGCUAAUACCGGAUAGGAGCUCCUGCUGCAUGGUGGGGGUUGGAAAGUUUCGGCGGUUGGGGAUGGACUCGCGGCUUAUCAGCUUGUUGGUGGGGUAGUGGCUUACCAAGGCUUUGACGGGUAGCCGGCCUGAGAGGGUGACCGGCCACAUUGGGACUGAGAUACGGCCCAGACUCCUACGGGAGGCAGCAGUGGGGAAUAUUGCACAAUGGGCGGAAGCCUGAUGCAGCAACGCCGCGUGUGGGAUGACGGCCUUCGGGUUGUAAACCGCUUUCGCCUGUGACGAAGCGUGAGUGACGGUAAUGGGUAAAGAAGCACCGGCUAACUACGUG
rnacentral:rRNA from 1 species